rnacentral:misc_RNA from 1 species
CGGGGUUUAAAAAAAAAAAUCUAAAGAACAGCAAAUAAACUCUGACAUUAGCAAAUUUGAACUGGCCAAAUCAGUGGACACUGUAAUCUAUGAGACUUUGGGAGUUCCAAGAAUAGGACAUAUGAACAUAAGGCAUUUCAACUUUCAACUCUCUAAAACUGCCUGCAGUGCCACUUAACAAUAAUAAUCAAAACAUGCAAUAGAAGAGACACCCAUAGCUUUUCUCAUAGCACAUCUUCAUUCUGGCCUAUACCUGACGUGCUAUGAGAAAAGCUAUG